rfam:Ailuropoda melanoleuca scaffold3107_9, whole genome shotgun sequence.
GAGCCCACCAGUCUGGUAGGCGGCCGUCAGUCCUCCUACGGCUUCUUUCUCCUGUGGUGGUCUCUAUUCUGAAACAAAGAAGAAAUAGUCAAAUCAGACUUGCCCUCUUGGAAAUGUGGUCCAGAUUGCUCUACUCCCAAGCUCCAAAAAG